ensembl:lncRNA
GGCAACUAGAAGAUUUUAAGUUCUGUGGGCAGCUCACAUGGUGUGUGUGCUGGGCAGAAGUGCCAGUCGUGGGCAGGCCCAUUGUGGUUACUGCAGCACAGAUGCCACGCCUGUUGCUAGCACUCUAGCCUUGCCCAGACCUUUGUCUCCAGGUCACUCCACAGCCUCAGAGGCUUCCUUGGCGCUCCACUUCCUGCUGACUGUCGGCCCUUUCUACCUCUUGCCUUGUCCAGCUUAGCUACUUGUCAGGCUCCUUCACUUCAGCCUCUCACCUGCCUGGGCCCUCUACUCCUGCGUUCUCUGUGGACACUGAAAACUCCUUUCCUUCUCUGUCCCUCCUCUCGGAGAGUGGGACACAGCUGGCAGGGGCACCAGUCGGUCCUGACUACUUGCUGUGCCAGCUGUAAUAUAGAGACUCUGUGUGUGCGCUCAGUCAUGUCUGACUCUUUGUGACUCUGUGGACGGCUACAAUCCAUGGGGUUGCAAAGAGUCGGACACGACUGAGCAACUUCACUUCUCUUCAUCGUUGAUACUGACACUGGGCUGGAGACAUCAUGUGUGUGCGUCAUUUCUCACAUUUCCUUGAGGGAAAGGUUAUUUUUAUUGCCACCUUCUAGAUGCAUAAACUGAGGUGCAGAGAGUUUGAAUGACUCAGUCGAGGUCAGACAGCUAGAUGACAGAGCUAGGGCACCAAUCCUGUCAGUCCCAACUUCAGAACUCCCCAGGUCUCCCCAAAUCUCAGGUCCUGUGGAGUCUAGCUCUUAAAAAGGCCUGCAUUCCUUGUCACCAUCCUAUCCCCGCUGCCCCUCCUCCCCACUUCACCUUAGUUCCCCUCUUGCCUGGAGCAGGGCAGCCUCAGGUCCUUUCAUUUCAUUCUACAGCCGGAGUGAAUCAUUUAAAAUACAAACCUGACCUCUCACUCCCCAGCCUGAGACCCUGUUAGGCCUGCCUUGCUGCAGUAGCCCUGUUCUCUUUGAGAGCCUGGAGCCUCUUACCUGUUCUCUGCACCACAGUCCCCACUCCAGCAUUAUCCGGCAGCCUUUCUGCUCCCUGGCUGGCCUCACCCUCCCCAGCAGAGGUCCCUGGUGUUUUCUCAGCUUGGUUGUGGGAAGAUGAAGAAGACAGAUUUUUGUCUCGGAAUGUGGUUCUGCAGUAGAUGAACUGGGUGACCUUGUGCAAGCUCCCUCUAAGUGCUUGAGUUUCCUGUCUGGAAAAUGAGGAUGGUGAGAGCAUUGUUGGAGGAGACAGUGUGUGUGGCAAAUGCUUCAGAUAGUGGUGGGUAGUUAAUGCCUUAGUCCAUGAGUGACAUGGGGCUUGCUGCACCUGCCUAGCUCAGUGGGCAGAUGAGUCCUUAAAAGCGCUGUCCUGUGUCUAGUGGUGGUAGACAGGCUGUACGACCUUUGCUGCCCCCAGACCUGCCGGUCUAGGACCUGAGUACUGGCCACAGCCCUUCUCCGAGCAGCCUGCCUUUCAGGUUUUCCUUCUUUCUUUUCAAGGAGAUUGGUCUCAUUCUUUGAAUGCCAUGACUGGAUAGACUUAGGGUAACAGAAAAAUGCUUGAAAAUACCUGUCAAGAGACAGUAACAGUCAGGCAAGGAAGAGGAGUAAGCAAAUGCUGAAUGAACCAUGGGAAAAGAUGGAGAAUAUCCAGAAGGAUUGUGGUUUACUUGGCUCAUCAGGUCUGGGGAGGAAUCAGAGAGGAUAGUUGUGGUGCAAAUACAUGUCAGAGAUGGUGUUGUGUAGUAAAAUCUUAACAGAAAUCCAGCUAACCCAAAGCAGAAUUUUUUUUGUUUACUUUGUAUACAUUUAACUUGUAGAAGAUCCAACAAGUCCAUCCUAAAGGAAAUCAGUCCCAAAUGUUCAUUAGAAGGACUGAUGCUGAAGCUGAAACUCCAAUACUUUGGCCACCUGAUGCGAAGAACUGACUCAUUUGAAAAGACCUGAUGCUGGGAAAGAUUGAAGGUGGGAGGAGAAGGGGAUGACCGAGGGUGAGACGGUUGGAUGGCAUCACUGACUCGAUGGACAUGAGUUCGAGUAAACUCCAGGAGUUGGUGAUGGACAGGGAGGCCUGACAUGCUGCAGUCCAUGGGAUUGCCAAGAGUUGGACACGCCUGAGUGACUGAACUAAACUGAACUUGUAGAAGAAAGAGGCAAAUGGCAGUGAUAAUUUUUUUUUAAUUUAAAGGGGAGAUCCUGAAACGAUGUUUUUUAGGAUUGAUUGUUUUGGCUUUGCUGGCUCUGCGUUACUGCUUGUGGGCUUUCUCUAGUUUCAGCAAGUGGGGCUGCCCUCUAGUUGUGGUGCGCGGACUUCUCAUUGCAGUGGCUGCUUGCUGUGGAACACAGACUCUAGGCUUCAGUAGUCGCGGCGCGGGGGUUCAGCUGCCUUGCUGCAAGUGGAGUUAGUGUCCUGACCAGGGGUCAAACCCAUGUCAGCCGCAUUGGCAGGUGGGUUCCUAACCACUGGACCACCAGGAAGCCCCUGGAUCGGAGUUUAAUUCAGCCAAAUUCCCUUCUCUUUGUAAUCAUUAUCAUUACUAUGUAAGAACUAGUGUGUGUUCAUGCUGAACAGGUUCUUGUUUUGGAAUCAUAACUGAAUUUGAAGACUAGAGGUGGGAGGGAGAUGAGCUCUGGUAGCGCUUUGCAUAUACAUUACACUUAUGGAAGUAUUUGCCAAAGGGAAGAAGCAGACUAGAGAAACUGCCUGCUGAUGACAGAUGAAACAGGUCUUCCGGGUUAAUUCCCAGGUCGCCAGGCCACUGGCUUCCGUGGCCAAGCCCUGCAGAACCUGAGCUACAUAUGCUCCCAGAACCCUUGGGCUUUCAGUCCUCCUGAGCACAGUUAUCAGGAACACAAGAGUUUUGAAACAAGAUCCUGAGUCUUACAGCAAACUAAAAGGGUACUUGGCCAGGUUUAUAAGACACAGUCAGGUACACGGGUUUCCUGGCUCCUGUAAAGGAGUCAUUUCCACACAGACUUUCCGAGCUACCAGAUCUUAUAUUUCUCUUUGGGCUGUUGUUGAACUUUGACAUGCUUUUCUCCCUCCUUUGCCUAAGUUCAGUUUGUUCAUUCAUCCAGCCAGUAUUUAUUGAGCUUAUACUCUACGCCUGUCCCUGUAGGCAGUUAGGAUAUAACAGUGAACAAAAUAGAAAUCUUUUCUCCUAAUGGAGAGAUACAGUAGAUAAGUGAAACUUUCCAAAGGCUGGGAAAUGCCGGAAAGAGAAUGAAAGGUGUGUCGGGGUUUGUAUUAUAGAUGGGGUUGCAGAGCAGGCCCCCUUUGAGGGGAGGUGUUAGAAGACCCCCAGAAGGGAGAGAGUCUGGGCAGUAUUCCUGACUUAACAAGCUCAUAUUUCUCCUAGAGCUGUUUGCCAGCUGAAUGACCGAUUGGCAGAGUUUGCUCUUAACUCUUUGUAUUAAGGUUUUGUAAAAGUGAAGCCUUUCACUGAAGUGUUAGCUUUAGGCAAGACACAGAGAAGCUAUUUGCAGGGUGUUGGGAGCACCCAUCCCCCACACUGUGUCCACUUAGGGUCCUUGCCAUUGACUGUUUAGUGAUGGUGC